rnacentral:rRNA from 1 species
CCAAUAGCGUAUAUUAAAGUUGUUGCAGUUAAAAAGCUCGUAGUUGAAUUUCGGGAUCAGAUUGUCGGUCGUGCCUCGGUACGCACUGGCAUUAUUGGUUCCUACCUUCUGAAGAACCGCGAUGUCAUUAAUUUGGUGUCGUGGGGAAUCAGGACUGUUACUUGGAAAAAAUUAGAGUGUUUAAAGCAGGCGCACGCUUGAAUACAUUAGCAUGGAAUAAUGAAAUAGGACGUUUGAUUCUAUUUUGUUGGUUUCUAGGAUCGACGUAAUGAUUAAUAGGGAUAGUUGGGGGCAUUAGUAUUCAAUUGUCAGAGGUGAAAUUCUUGGAUUUAUUGAAGACUAACUACUGCGAAAGCAUUUGCCAAGGAUGUUUUCAUUAAUCAAGAACGAAAGUUAGGGGAUCGAAGACGAUCAGAUACCGUCGUAGUCUUAACCAUAAACUAUGCCGACUAGGGAUCGGAUGAUGUUAAUUUUUUAAUGACUCAUUCGGCGCCUUACG